rnacentral:rRNA from 1 species
AUUGAACGCUGGCGGCAGGCCUAACACAUGCAAGUCGAGCGAAUGAGGGGAGCUUGCUCCCUGAUUUAGCGGCGGACGGGUGAGUAAUGUAUAGGGAGCUGCCCGAUAGAGGGGGAUACCAGUUGGAAACGACUGUUAAUACCGCAUAAUGUCUACGGACCAAAGUGUGGGACCUUCGGGCCACAUGCUAUCGGAUGCACCUAUAUGGGAUUAGCUAGUUGGUGGGGUAACGGCUCACCAAGGCAACGAUCCCUAGCUGGUUUGAGAGGAUGAUCAGCCACACUGGAACUGAGACACGGUCCAG